AAGGGUUUACAAGAAUGGGAGGAGGAUGGGGUUUAAUUUGACUCAACGCGGAAAAACUUACCGGGGACGGACACAAUGAGGAUUGGCAGGAGAUAAAUUAUGCUAGUCCUUUCUUGAUUGAGUGAUAGGGGGCGGGCGGCCGUAUCAAAUUCUGGUGAAGAGAUUAUUGUUUUUUAUGGUUUGAAAAUCCUCGUGGUGUCCGCACCCGGUGAGUUUUCCCGCGCUGAAUCAAAAUAAGCCACGUGCUCCACUCUUUCUUGUGGCGCCCUU
rnacentral:rRNA from 1 species